rnacentral:lncRNA from 1 species
UGCUGAUGAAUUUUAUGUAUGGGCUUAGGUGGAAUUCUAAUUUUCUUAUCUUUUGUUUUUGUACAUUUAAGAAUCCUAAUAUAAUUUAAGUAGCCCGUAUUUGAGUUUUUACUAUUUUUGGCUGUAAUGGAUAGCGUUGCCAUGAAUAGUCAUGUACAUGUCAUUUGGAGGAUUUAAAUACACAUUUUGGAUGGGUAUAUGGCUAGGAUUGGAAUUCCUGGGGUGUAUGGUUUAUAUGCAUGUGUCCAGCUUUGAGAUACUGCCAAAUAUUUUUCCAAAGUGGUUGUAACCAUUUACCUUUCACUCCAAUGUAAGAGUUCUAGUUUCUCUGCUCGUUGAUUUUUAAUGUAUAUGACAAAUCAAUUUAUGAUUGUCGUUUAUAUUGAUUUCUAAAAAUUCUUUAUUUAUUAUUUAAAAUAUUUCGUAUUUCCUAAACUUACCUCUUAGCUUUUAGAAGCUUCUUGUAUAUUAGAAUCUUUCAUGUGGAAAUUCAAAUAAGCUAUAGUUAAUGGCAGUUUGUAUAUUUGCUUUUCAUUUCCACAGUUUUUACUUCUUCUCAGUCUACAUAAUUUGGCUGAGUCCUCAAAUAAAAAAUUGAUGCUCACAACCAGAAGGACCCACAACGAGAAUAUACAACUAUGUACUAAGGGGCUUUGGGGAGAAGAGGAAGAAAAAAAAUUAAUCAAAGGCCUUCAUUUGUUAGAGGCGAAGAAGGUGAGCAGAAUAAACAUUAACUUAUUCUAACUGGCCAAGUCUGCAGGAGAUGCAAUAGGUCUGAGAGACUGAAAUAGGAGUAGAACCACCACCUAGAGAGAAUUGUGAUGCUCAACAUUACAUAACUCCUUAGAGCUAGAUCUGGAACUAGAGUUUUUUCAAGUUGUACUUUUAUCUCAGACAAAUAAAUAUUGAAAUUAUUUAAUUCA